AUGUGGAAAGUGGAACCCCACGCCAUGCCUUCGAUAAUUUUCUUUGGGGCAAGCAUCACUUUCCCCAGGCCCUCACUGUGUGCAGAACUGCUUUUUCCUUGCACUGACUGCUGACAAUGCUACUUAUGUCAUGGGUUUGUAAAUCACUUAGAGCAGGGCCUGGCACUAAGUAAGUGGUCUAUAAGCAUUUGUUAAAUAAAAUAAAAGCAAACAAAUACUGAAAAACUAUAAUGGUUAAGAUCCUGCAAGACCUACCCUCUCUGGGGCACCACAGGGCAAGUGAGAAGAGAAUUGAGAUGAGUUAGUGACCCGAGCUGAGAUGGGACCAAAUGAGGAAUGUUCUAUCAGAAUGUGCAGUCUCAAAAGAGCUGCAGUCUAGGAAAACUGUGGGCAGACCCUGGAAGCGUGUCGGCUUCCUGGCCCCUCUUCCCACCUGCCAUCGGGGGACAGGGUCGUAGGUCUUCUGUAUACUCCUUCAGGUCAAUUAAGUGGUGAGAGCUUUUGAAGGGGCAAGAGACAGUAUCUGCCUGACCUUGGGCAAGUCAUUUACUCUCUCAGAAGCUCCAUUUCUAAUCUGUAAAUCAAGGAAAAUAAUCCCACGCCCACAGGAUGCUUGCUGUGACAAUUACGAGGCAUGUAAAGUGUCUGCCAUAGAGUAACUGAUCAUAAAUACUAACUUCUCUUGUUGUUAUCAUUUUCUCAAUAAUAUGGCCAGCAGAGAAGCCUGGAGCAGACAGACCCCCAGAGAAAGGCUGUUCCAGCAAAGCAGAGAAGCUGCCUUCACAGCUAGCUGGUGGCUGUGCACAUGCAGGGCUAGGGAUGCGACCAGUUUUCCUUCCUCCAAUGUAGCCAGCCUGUGCCUCUUUAGUGCCCUGAGGAUUUGAGUGCAUGAUCCCUGGGAAUGUCCCUUUAGAAGAAUCCCAGCUGGGCCAUGGGGGUGGUGGGUGAAGGGUGGGGAUAGGGGAGGACUUGGGGGUGGAUUUUAUUCACCUGGGAAGAGAAAGCUGAGGAGCCUUGUGAGCCCCAGCUGCUGCCUGUCUGAAGAAUUGUGGGGGACUGGGAGUGGGGAUGAGCCAGGCAGAAGAGGAGUACUCAGCAGGUGUGGUGAUCAGGAUGGCAGUGUGCCCCCUUCCCGCUGUACCCCACUGCUCCCCAAGGAGGGGUCCCACACUGAGGUUCCAACAAGGCAAUGUGAACACAGUUUCUCAAUGGCUGCCUCCAGGCCAAGUGAGGGUACUGGGUAGCAGGGAGAGAGAGAGAGAGGCCACCUCUCUCAGAGGUGAAAGUGACCCGGGCCCAGCCCUGCCAGCCCCGCCAGCCCCACCCCCAUUCCUAGGUGCCAGCCCUGGUUGUUAAAGUAGCCUGGGACAGCCUUGUUUCUGCAGGGAACGGGGAGCGGAUGAGGUAAGGGGACACUGCCUCAGCAGGAAAUCAGCUGCAUAAGCAAAACUGGGCCGGGAGGGAGGCCCCAGGUGGGAAGGGAUCAGCUGUCCCCAGGCCUCUCUGCUGGCUGAUCGCUUUCUUUCCCCCUCACUCUCCACCCUCCCCUCCCCACCAG
rnacentral:lncRNA from 10 species